rnacentral:lncRNA from 1 species
ACCCAAGAAUCGUGCAGCGGAUGGCAAGAUUUAAAAGAUUGCACUCCAUGCGACGCAAUCUGGACAGCCACACAGCCAAUCGAGAAAUCUGCCCUGUAAUUUUGUGCUCCAUGCAGAAGCAACAAUCAUAAGAUAGCAAGAAGAGGAGUGGAGGGUGCUCAUUGUCCAGAUCAAGGGAGGCGAACAUCAGCACCAGCGCACAGGCAUUCUUCUCAUUUUUACCAUGAGUAACCAUCAUAUUCUGGAUCAUAAAGAGGGAACUGCUGUCAUGUGCCCUCAGUUCCAGGUUUUGUCUGACUUUCUCAGUGCUCACUUGCCCAAAGCACCUCCUACAGAUGAGCAAAUAUUGGAUUUUAUUGAAAAAAGGCUUGCACCUUUUAGAAAUCCUUCAACUCAGCAAAAAGGAGACUAUGGUGCCACGCUCUUAAAUGAGGACUCGCAAAUCGGAGAGAACGCUGACUGCAACAUACCAGAAUCCAGCAAUGCCAUCAAUCUCCCCGCAUCCUCUUUUUCUAAUGAAGAAAAUGUCCAGAGGCAAGGUCAUAAUGUGUUGACUGAGAGGCACACUGCCACAGGAGGGCAAAUACUUGACAACUGUUCAACUAGCAGCAAGUCAAAUGCUGUGUUAACGUUCAAGCCUACAGUGACAAGGGAUUGUGCUACAGUUACAUCAGAUACACAUUCAACAGAAUAUCCACAGAUUAUGAGGAAUGUUGCUGCUGCAUGCACAAAGACUGAAGAUGCCAUUCCAGUGGUUCUGACAGCAGUGGCUGAAAUGAGCCCCGACUGCUCAUCUGACAAGAGUGUCAGUAAAAGCUUAGUCACCUGCAGCUCAGCAAAAAAAUACAGCUCUUCUUGGUUAACGCUAAACAAGAGUUUGGAUAACACAGACAAAAUGCCUGGUUUUUCUUGGACUCAAAAAUCCACAAAUAACCAAGAGAAAGAAGAAACGGGCCCAGAAACGUCUGAGGAUGUACAACUGGACAGUUUGAAAUGUGUGACUAAUACCCCAGUGGGUCAAACCCAUUCAAUAUCAGUGGUAUUUGAACACAAUACAUUGAAACCUAAAACACUCAAUGGAGAAGAUGCAAAUGGAGAAGUAGGACAAUCCACUGAGCAGCCACAACAUUUCGAAAUAGUUUGUGAGGAUGUCACAACUCUGUCAAAGAUAAAUAUGGGGAGGAAUGCACAUUUUGUUGAAUUUCCUGAUCAGAAAGCACCUUCUGUGACAGGUCUAAAAUAUGAAGACAUUACAAAUGAUCAAGGCGUGUCCCACCAGGUAACAAACCAGCCAUGUGUCCAAGUCCCAGUGUAUGAAGAUAUAAGUGAAGAUGAAGAGCCACAGAUCAAAAAUAUAGCUGUAGAAACCAGAUCACCUAUACCCACAAACCAUGAGAUAUUUAACUUGGAAAAUGAUGGUCCUGAAAAGGGGGAUGACGAGGGUGAUGAAGAUGAGUGGCUAGUCAUCCCUGUGAGUGUGGAAGACAUAGAUUUUGAACCUGAAAAUCCUGAUGAAGAACAGGAGGAUGUGGAAUUGAUUGUGUUACAUCCUGAAAAAGCUUCAGGCGCAGGAAGAUGGAAUGCCACAAGACUUGCACAAUAUCAGCCAGAUUCAGACCCGGCACUAGCUGUUGUGCCUUCCCAGAUAGAAGUGUUUGAUACGUUUGACAGCUUUGUAAAGGCUAAAAGUAAACAGCUUGGUUUCUGUAAAAGCACACCUCCAGAUGAACUGCACCCUAAUACCACACUAUAUAAUGCUCAGGACAAUAAAAUGAUUGAAUCGGAGUCCGAAGACAGCUGUGAAACUGAUGAUAGUUGUGAUUACUCAUCUGCAACUGAGCGAAACCGUUUGACAGUGGACAGACGAUUGCUGAAGGAAAUUUCUGAACCUGCACCAUCAGAUCAUUUUUUGUCUGAACACAAGGGUAGAACCAGGAGACAUAAGUGUAAAGAAGUGCUGGAUUCCAGAAAAGGAUCAGGGCCAAAGGCUUCAGAAGCAAAUGAUGUAAUAGUUCUCAAUUCAGAUACUGAUGAUGAAAGUGAUCAAAUGAAAAAGACAGCAUUGUUCCUAAGCUCAGAGGAUGGGGCUGCUCCAUGUCACGAAAGUAGUUUGCCAUUUGAAUCCAACUUUAUUGUUAAGCAGCUUAAACAGGGCACAAAUAGAAUAAAUGUUUCAGCGCAACAAGAUAUUAUAAACAUCGACUCUGAUUCGGACUCCUCUGGAUCAGGAAAUGGCCAGCUGACUGAAGAUAGGGAGCAUAAUAAACAAGGGACCAGCAGACCAAGAAUGGCAAAAGUGGUUAAAAAGGACAGUAUAUGCAAAAAGAAGCCAUCUGUAGAGAGAACUGUCUCAUUAGUAUCAGGUGGUGGUGGUAGUACUUCAUUUAGUGUGCAAAACAAACUUUCCACUAAAAUGGCAAAUCACCAUACUGACAGUGAAAGGCCUAAAAAAAAGACAUCUAAAAGCUCCUCAGACAGGCUUCCCCAGUCUGUGAGCAAGAAGGCACGCCCCGAUGAGCCUGUGAUUGGUCGUCUUUUUGUUGUGGGGUCUUCCCCACCUGGAAGUCACUUGAAACUUUCGAAGGAACCUAAAAACAGGCUAGGUGAAGAGGAACGAAAGAGCCACACAAAAACUAAAUCUGCAUCUGGACCUGACAAUAACCGCACCGCAAAUAAACCUUUGGCCAGCGUGACAAAACCUAAACUGGCCUCUAGACAGAUGUCUAACCAAGAACGGCUGUCUCUUUCCAUCAGCACCUCUACUACGACAAGUGAACAAUUUCCUCAAGUCAGACAAAGAUCUGCCUCUGUUACAGUGUCUGCCCUCUCUAGCGUUCCUAAAUCUAAGCCAAGCACAUCAGUAGCAACACAUCACUUGUCUUCUUCCAAAUUGAAGCGUUCUCACUCGUAUAGCAGCGCUUCAACACUAGAACUUCCUAAAACACUCUCAAAAGACUUGGUGUCCUCUACAAACACACAAUCCUUUGCAAAGAAACGGUUAAGGACUGAAUGGCAUGAUAGCUUUGUCCCAACAAAGUUGGAUAGAAGACCUAGUCCAGGGGCAGAUAAACCAUUAAGAAACAAAAGCUGUGAUUCAAGUGGCCACGCAAGGCCAGGACCUAGUCAUCAAAGCAGACCGACGGCAUCGAGACAUCAACACGUCAACAAAUUUGCCACCCCCCUGAUGAAAAGGACCAAGCAGGAAGCCAUACAAAGGACAAAGGACAUAAAUCGGACCAUGUCAAGUGGGCCAAGCAACAUCGUGAGCAAACAUUACAAGUGGGCAGAGGAGCAAAAGCCAGUGAAAGCUUCCGGCUGGAAAAGGAAAAGUCUGUGAUCCCGAGUCCCCAUCGAGGAUGGGUGUCUACAAGUGCCUGCCAGACAGAUCAUUGAGUGUUGGAUCAGCAGUUUUCACCUAGCAGAUUGUCUGUCAUUUUCUCAGUGUUUCUAUACAAUUACUGUCUUCCCAGUAUUUUUUUCUUGUCAUAAAAUAGAAUACACUGUAUUUUAAUAGUUUUUUGUAUAUUCACAUGUUUUUUUGUAACAUCUACCUCAAUAUGUGUAAAUUGUGUAAUUUAGUUAACUGUUAGUUUUUUUUUUUUCUAAAAACCUGUUUUUAUUUUUUCUCCUCAUUUUGAAACAGUUUUCUAAUACCACAGUAUGAUAAGCUGUAAUUUGAAUGAUUUGCUGUUUUUUUUACCACUAGAUGGAGACGUUGUACAGAUUUAGGCAGCAGGCCUGUACUGAACAUGUACAAAACAUUUGACCUGUAAAAAAAAAAAUAUAUAUAUAUGUAUGUUUGUGUGUAUAUGUAUUUCAUUAAACAUUUUAGAUUAGCUAUUAUUAUUAUUAUUAUUAUUAGCAAGAAAGUUUUGUCCAUUUUAAUAAAAGUUUGGUUGAAUGUCA